GCCAGAGGGCAAUCUGGAUAUAAAAUGUCAUUCAUUGAUCACCAGGAUCAAUUAGGCUGACCUAGUUGACUAUGCAGGUGUGCUCUUUCUCUGUCACCUGCAUGUACAUCCCUCCUGAAGCCAUAAACUUUAUGGAAGAGGACAAUCUUCCCUGAACAGAGAUGGACUGGACUGGUUUGAGUAGCUGCACUCCAAACGAGCUCUCAAUUAUAACUGUCCAAUAAGAGACUGGUGUGUGCUUUUACCCAUUAACUGGUUCAUUUGAGU
rnacentral:snRNA from 1 species